CACGAACCGUCCAAACGUUAUUCGGAAUCAUUGGGCUUAAAGGGUGCGUAGGCGGCGCCUUAAGUCGGGUGUGAAAUCCCUCGGCUCAACCGAGGAAUUGCGCCCGAUACUGGGGUGCUCGAGGGAGACAGGGGUGAGCGGAACUGAUGGUGGAGCGGUGAAAUGCGUUGAUAUCAUCAGGAACACCGGUGGCGAAAGCGGCUCACUGGGUCUCUGCUGACGCUGAGGCACGAAAGACAGGGUAGCGAACGGG
rnacentral:rRNA from 1 species